UACGGGGGGGGCAAGCGUUGUUCGGAAUUACUGGGCGUAAAGGGCUCGUAGGCGGCCAACUAAGUCAGACGUGAAAUCCCUCGGCUUAACCGGGGAACUGCGUCUGAUACUGGAUGGCUUGAGGUUGGGAGAGGGAUGCGGAAUUCCAGGUGUAGCGGUGAAAUGCGUAGAUAUCAGGAGGAACACCGGUGGCGAAGGCGGGAUCCUGGGCCAGUACUGACGCUGAGGAGCGAAAGCGUGGGGAGCAAACAGG
rnacentral:rRNA from 1 species